GUGGUCAUGGCGGAAUUGGUAGACGCGCUGGUCUCAGAAGCCAGUGAGGAAACUCAUGGAAGUUCGAGUCUUCUUGGCCACACCA
rnacentral:tRNA from 1 species